GGCAGGCUAGCGUAAUGGUUAACGCGCUAGUUUCCGGUUAUAAUGUGGUUAGCUAGAGAUUCUGGGUUCGAGUCCCAGGCUUGUCG
rnacentral:tRNA from 1 species